AAUAGCACUAACAUAUUAACAAAUAUUUCAACUCAAAAACUAUAAAGUAGAUAGCAGAUACACCAUUGAAAUUGCUGUUAAUGGGAAGAUAAUUUCUGUAUUAAUUAGUGUAAUUAUAAUCUAACUGAAUUGAAUUGAACUGGGCAGAAAUAAAAAUAGGACUGGAAAAUUGUUAAAAAAUGGGCAGAUUGCAGAAAUACAAAACAGAACAAAAAACAGAGAUUAAGUCGUUAAGAGAAGAACUGAAGAAGAAGAAAGAAGAAAUUAGAAGAAAAAGAAAGAAGAAACUAGAAGAAGAAGAAAGAAGAAAGAAGAAAUUAGAAGAAGAAGAACUGAAGAAGAAGAAGAAAGAAUAAGUCGCUUGAAGUUUGUGCAAAAUGCUAAUAAAACCCUAUUAUUGACUUUUUACUUUUAAAACCCUAAACUGAUGGCUGUUUUUUCUUUUAAAGAACAAAAGGCGACGCCGUUGUCACCUUUCUCGCUGCGUCACCUCUCGCCAUUUAGCGCCUUUUGGAUAUCGCCUCGCAGUAAUAGGUGGCAAGGCCUUGCCUCUCGCUAGCGCCUUUCACAACACUGAUUAAGGUAUAUAAGAUUGAGUGUCAAUAAAAAUCAUGUGGUUUGUGAGGUUUUCUACUUUUUGAUACACGUCUCGUAUAGGGGUAAUUAUUUGCCCAUUGUUAGUAAAAUUUUAUUACUUAAUUUUUUUUUAAAAAAAUAUUAAGGCUUGGUGUUGCUUACUUGAAUAUGCCUUGAAUAGACAUGCAAAAAAGGCUAACAUAAUUCAUAUAAUCUUACAAUAGCUUGAAUAUAGAGAUAAAAGAGCUUUGGUUAGGCAUUAUCUUGUAGUUUGGAUAGGAACAUAAUGCUAGUUUCCUUUAUUUUUUGAAACUGUUGUGUUUGUGUCAGCUUGCCUGAACUUCGACUAUUUCAAGUGUUCUUGCUACUUCCCACCAGCGUAGAUACUAGGUACUCGGUUUUCUCGGUUUAUCAAGGAUUGGAUAGUUGGGAAGAAAUCACUUAAUAGUUUUUGCCUCCACGGAGAUUUGAGAGAUUUUAAUCCAUAAGAACAUCCAAGUUGUUUAUUAAGGUAUUGAAGAUUGGGUGUCGUUCGUAGAUAUUUUUGUGAGGCUUUUUACUUUUUGGUAUACUUCUUGUAUAUGGGUAUUUUUUUGCCGGUUGUUAAUAAAUAUUUUAUCAUUGUGAUAGAAUUUUAUAUUAAGCCUUGAUGUUGCUCACUUGAAUAUGCCUUGAGUUAACCUGCAAAAAAGGCAACUCCCAUCAUACAUGGGAUAAGAGAUAAGAGCUUUGAUAAGGCAUUAUGUUGGAGUUUGGAUGGGAUAAAUGCUAGUUUACUUUUUUCUUUGGUAACUGCGGUGUUCAUGCCAGCUUGCACUGACCUUGACUAUUCCACGACUUAUCUGCCACUUCCAACCUCCCAUCACAUUUGGUAACCAUGUCUACCAAGACUUGGAUAGAUAAGGAAAAUACCACCUAGUCAUUUCUGCUACCACCGAGAUUUGAAUGUGAGACCUCAUAAUUCUCAAUCCAUUUUAAUGACUACUAGGUCGAACUUACACAUUUUUUUUUCCUGAAAAUCAAAUGUUAAUUUCAGUUUCAGAGUUACAUAGAGGAGGCUUAGUCCAGCUUAGCUCUUUUUACGAUAUAGAAAUACAAUUAUUUUGUGAAGUUCAGUAAAAAGGAUAAAAUAGGCAUUUAAAUAAUCUCACAUACAAUUACAUCAUAUGGUUGAAAUUUAAUUGAAGAGCUAUGAUAACGCUUUUGGGGAAAGCUUCCAUAUUUGUGAAAAGAAAUUUAUUGCGCCUUUUACUUCCUUCGCCAGAUGAGAAGGUGGUUAUCGAAUAGUCCUAUAUCAACAUUUAUAGUGGCACGUAUAUAUGUAACACGGGGGGGGGAGGGCACCUAGUGAUCCUCUACUUUCAAUUGUAAGGUUCGGGAUUUGCGUUACUAAGGCAGUAAAAUUGGGAAAAUGCCACAAUUGACCUCUGGAUAGCAGAGGGUGGGAUUGGGGCACUACCAAGAAGCGUGUCUUGGGGAACUCAGACACAGGUGAAGGAAUGAAAGAACACAAAAAUAAACCUGUGCUUUGCUCAUGUUCUUUACUGAGAUUUUUACACUUUGCUCACAUAUCAAAAGAUUAUAAAAGGGUAGCCUACACCUUACUCCAUUCAUUAUACCGAGACUUCUAAAUACCCAUUUCCUCAACUGGUAUAGCCUAUGUGCUACCCCAGACUUUUAAAGUCUUUAUUUUUUCUGUUCAGCAUAUGUUGGAACGUAGGGAUCCACUUAGUGUUAGGGGACCAGGUCCCUUGACAAUCAAAUGCAAUAACACAGUUAUAAGAGAAGAACAAUGCCGAAGGUAAAAUACACACUAUGUUUACGUGUAAACCUCCUUGCUCAAUGGAGGAAAAAACACGACCUUUCUCAUCGGAUUUCCCAACUUCUUCACUAAGCUUCAAGCAACAAAGUGAUUACAAACUCGAAUAAUCACAAGGAUUGAACUCUUAAUCCUAACCUCUUGUAACAACUCUAUGACAAGCUAUAUUGCUCGGGCUCUUCAAAAAUGUCAGCGGGUGCGUGUCGGAUUCUCCAAAAAUAGUGUAUUUUUGAGAACCCGACAUGGGUGCGGCAUCAACUUAGAUUACAAGACUGAUGUAGUGACUCUACCACACCCUUUUGUCGUCUAACUUUAGUCAACAAUCGUAAGUAACUCUACCCAGGAAAGACAUCGAUAAAGAUUGAAAAAAACUUGACUAAAGACAAAGUGACUCGACCAAUUAACUCUAAUUGAUGUGGCUUAAGCUAAGACUUAGACAAGCAAUCAAUCUACUAUCCUUUAUAACUCAGGCUUAGAUUUACAAUGUAAGAAUAAAAGACACAAGACUCAAAAAUGCAACAAGACUACACAACACUCGAUCAGGUCCCUUGUUGAAAUAUGAGCAAUGGUCUUGUAGAAUGGUUUUUACUUGGGAGAUAAUCUUGAUUGCAAAAACUAGGUUUUGCUCUUUGUGAGUGUUCCUUUUCUAAGAGAGAGCAUAACUUAGGAUGCAUGCCAUUGGUCGAGGUUGGCUUCCUCUAAUGCAGUGCUACCAACUUUCUGCACAAAGUGUAGUUUCCAACCGUACUCAGUUGGCAUCUUCUGAAGUCAACUUCCUACGGAACUAGGUCCAAUAGAUAUUGAAUUUAUUAGCCGAUUAGGUCCUUUGUGGUAUAGUUUGUAAAUCAUCAAAACGUCACUAGUACAACAUUUUCCCCUUUUUGAUGAUGACAAACUAUUCCCCCCUGUCAUCAUCAGGACCAGGUUCAUGUAGAAACAAAAAGCUCUUCUCCCUGUGACCAUUAUUGAUUCGCUUAAUUACAAGAACCAGGUUCCUAUGAGAAACAACCAAACACAACUUACUAAUACUAAUAAACUAACUAAGAUCUCUAUAAUCAAUAACAAUCUUCCCCCUUUUGACAUUAUAAAAAAGUACAACAGUAAAACAAGAAAAGUGAGAGGUAAGGGAAGUUAAUUCAUGCCAUUGAGGCAACACACGAAUGAACUGGCUAAAAAAAAGAAAGCACACAGUAGACAAGGAUAGAGGGAACUUUAUUAGAAUAGGAAAAUUAGCAUCAUACAUAGUACACAAAUUAAAAAUACAAAAGAAAGCCAUACAUAACUAGCUACAGGAGACAAAGAUGUCUUGAGCAAAAAGGGACACUAAUGAGAUAACAAUAGGGCUUAGGAGGGAAGAGGCUUAGGGGCAAAGGAGCUAACAAUCAGGUCCAUGUGCGCACUCUCAGCAGCGUGGCAUUGGGUAGCUGCUUAGUGAGGUCCUUUACUUCAUUAUUGAGACCCCAGUGAGGAGGUUAUAACCCGUGCCUUCAAAACAUCAGUGGCACCAACUCCUUUUGUGGAAAGUUGUUGCACUUUUGCCUUGAGAUGAGAAAUUUCGGCAUCCCUCGUGGCUAAGGUCACCCUCAUUUCCUCCAGAUCCGUAGUCAGCCGCUCUUGGCUCUAAAUUAGCUCAGAAAUUUGGGGCCUGGUCCCCACCUUGCCUUCCAUAUACUCAUUUUCAAUGAAUGGUCAUUGUGAUAUCUUCUUAAUAGUUCCAGCCUUUGUUUUUUCACACACAAUCUUGAAAUGAUCAAACACCUUGUUCAGUAGGUACCCGCAGGGCAUCCCAUGCUUUCCAUCCUUUAUAUGCAUAAUCUUAUGCAUGUGCUCAAUCAUGAUGGCAGGAAGACUGAUCAUUUCAAAUUUGCUGAUUUCAUAUGGUGUAGGUCCAUUGCAGAUGCGAUUGUACGCUUUUCUGAGUGUGGCUGCAGGACCUUGUUCAUCGACUCAAAUAACAGUUGAAAUUUCCCUUUUAGGAAUUUCUUCGUCACUCCCGUCUUAGAUUUUCCUCCAACUCACGAAGCUUCCUGCACAAACUCAAGUGAGGGGUGUUGAUUUUUCACAGACCUGAUCCCAUCUAUUGGAACAUCAAGAAUCUCCCCAUAAAUUGCUUCAUCCAGGAAAAUACCCUUUGCACCAUGGUAGUCAAGCUCAGUCCAUCAGAGAACUUGAUGGUAUAGUAGAAGUCUUUUGACUACUUGUUCAUGAACAACAAGAACUGGCAUCUCAAACAAGUGAAGCCACGUCUUAAUGUCGGACAAACUCCACGAACUCAUACAAACUAGGUUGAUUGAAGAUCUUAGGAUCAAACACCUACUUGUCAACACUUUUUGUGAAUUGAGGAUUCAAAUUCUUUCCUCCCUAAUGAGGACCUGGUCAACCUUUUGCACUCUCUGUUUCUUAGGCGAGGUACUUGGUCCCUCUGCUGAUGGCCACUGCUUCAAAUGUGGUGGAGUCAAUUUCAGGACCAGGUCCCAUGGAAACAUCAUCCCUCUUUAUUUUGACUGAAAUGUGUUACUUUCCCUGCAACCUUUGGCUUUGGCACUUUAGAUUUAGCAGGCCUUAAGACUAUUGCUUCCUUCCUUUUCUUGCUCGUAGCAAUGGCCACAUCGAAAUCAAUCUCACAAUGUUUUUCCUCAUCCUCCGCUACUAUAACAUCUUUAGUGGGUAGAACCUUAUUUUCCUUCUUAGACAUUUUCCUCAAGUUUAGCUUACGGGUAGUGGCUCGCUUGUUUGCCUUCAGUGCAUCAUUCAUGAGUUUCUUAUCUGCCCCUCUUGUGCCAUAAGCCUUCACUGGCUCAUCAAAGAUCUAGUCUUUCCCCUCAUACCUACGUUGUCCUACUCUAGUCCAACUUAAGUCGUUUAGUUCAUCCCCCUCUUCUUCAUCUACUUCAUCUACUACUGGAGGUAGGAGUACCGUUUUAGCUGCGUGAGUUGAAACCAGAGUUCCAUUAUACAUUGGACAUGGUGACUCUGGGGUGAGUUUGAAGUGAUGGACUGAAACCCUCUUGGGUCACACGACAAUCGGGUUAGACUAUCUAUUACCCAAUCAACUCUUGCCUCUACACUGCUUGGAGGGUUUCCUCUUUCCUCAGGCAAGUCCCUGUUGAAUAUGUGUUCGUCAAUCGAAAAAGGUUCUAAGACAUUGAGGGUCUCGGGUCUCGUGGGGACUUCAGUGGUUACUCCAAUAGCAUGAGAUUCGACCUGAAUCACAGGGACAGACUCAAUAGGCGAUUAGAAGACGAUCAUGGUGGUCAGAGGUGGUUCCUCGAUGGUAGAUAGAUGGCAUGGAAGAAAGAGAGGGUAUGUCGGCACUGAUAAGAGAUGCGAAAAGGGUACCUAUCCCUGUUUGGGAAGAUAGGUUUGCUCAAAAAAGGGGCUUUCGAAGUUCGGAAUAAGAUUUGUCGGUGGGGAGUCAGAGUGAGGAAUCUUGUCUUCAAGAAGUGUCUUGGUAAGGAAGACGAUUGGGGCCAUUUUUUUGUGUGAGGGAGUUGAAGAAGAUAAAGUGCAAGAGAGUCACGUGAAGAUUGAAAAAUCAUUAAGAAUUUUUGUGUGAGAGAUGAAGGUUAUGAUUUUCAGCGAGUAUAUUUAAAGAGAUAAAAAGGGGUGUCAUUUGGGUGUAAAUUGAAACGACGUGGUCCCUGUUGGACACGUCGGUUCAUUUCUUCAAGUGAUGUGACAACGAUUUGGAGAGGCGGGAAAGGACACGUGGCACCUCAUGGCUUUUCUUUAGCAUUUUAAAAAAAAGUGAUAUAUAGGAUACUAGCUUUGCUUUAGGGAUCAGGUCCCUACAUGUCUGAUGAAGUGUUCUUCUCAUGUCUGUCCCACUGCUCUCUCACUCCAGCUAGUCCACCAUAGGUGUAUACCUGCAGACUAAGUUGCUCGGACUCGAGUGUGGGUGUCGGACACGGGUGAAGAUCCGAGUGUCGGAUCCUUCAUGAUGGAAUUUUUAAGUUUCGGGGAUAUGGAUCUGGCUACAGAUACAGGUGCGGGGACUCGGCAAAAAAAAAUUAAAAGUUUUUACAUAUAGUUACAAAAAUAUCAAAUAUGCAUAAUUAUAUAUAUGAGAGAUAUUGUGAAAAACUUACAUGUAACUUGUGCAUUGUAGAGUUAGAUCAUGAAGGAAAGAGGCCGAAAGCAAAUACAACUCUUUAAAAGGGCGUGAUUCAUUCUUUUUCCUACAACUCACACAACAAAGUAUUAAAAUACGAUAGUAUAACACAUUGAAAUAUACCAAAUAAAAAACUAAAACAAAGCUAAGAUUAAGAGAGAUAUGGAACAUACCUUUUAAUCUUUUGGAAGUAAGUCGAGAUGACUAGACGAGUUACUAAGUUAGAAUACUUGGUUCCCCAUGAGAUCAAGCACGAUCCCAAGAAGUGUGCCAUUCCAAAGGUGCUACAUAAUCUGCAUCAGCAUAACCAAUUAGAUCAAAAAAGUUGCUUGAAUGGUAGUAUAGGACUAGGUCCCCUGUACCCUUCAAGUAUCUCAAAUUUCGUUUAGCAGCCUUCAGGUGUGAUUCCUUUGGAAAGGUUUGAAAUCUUGCACACGUGCCUACACUGAAAACACUAUAAGGUCUACUAGUUGUCAAGUACAAGGGAGCUCCCAUAAUUCCUCAGUACAUGGUUUCAUUUACCCUGGUACCAGGUUCAUCAGUAUCCAAUUUUGAGCUGGUUCCUAUGGGAGUAUUAAUGGGCUUGGCAUCACUCAUGUGGAAUCUGUUCAAGAGCUCCUUGAUAUAUUUUUCUUGAUAAAUCAUAGUUCCAGUAGGAGUCUGCCUCAUUUGCAUCCUAAGAAAUAGGUUAGCUCUCGCAUCAUGCUCAUCUCAAUCUCACUUCCCCUGAGUUUGGCGAACUCUUCACACUGGGUGUCUGAAGUUUCUCCAAAGAUGAUAUCAUCAACAUAUACUUGAACAACCAACAAAUUUCCCCUCUCGAUUUUAAGCAGAGAGUAUUGUCAAUCUUCCCUCUCUUGCAACCAUCUGCAAGGAGAAAUUUAGGAAGUCUUUUAUAUCAAGCCCUUGGAGCUUGCUUCAAUCUAUCAUUGCUUUAUCUAGCUGUAUCACAUGAUUAGGUUUAUCAAUAUCUUCAAAACUUGGGUGGUGUUUGACAUUCACUUCUUCUUUAAGAUAUCCAUUCCGAAAAGCACUCUUUACAUCCAUUUGAAAUAAUUUAAAUUUCAUGUAUGCAACGAAUGCAAUGAGAAUUCAGAUGGCCUCCAUCUCGGCAACAAGGGCAAAAGUCUCAUCAUAGUCAAUUCCUUCUUCUUGGUUGUAACCUUGCACCAGGAGUCUUGCUUUAUUUCUGAUAAUGGUCUUCUAGUCCCUAUGAUUAUUCAGUCAAUAGGUUUGGGGACAAGGUGUUGCACUUUACUCCUUUCAAAUUGAUUCAACUUCUCCUGCAUUACAUUAACCCAAUCAGCAUCCUUUAGUGCCCCCUUCACAUUUUUUUGGCUCAAUAGCAGAUAUGAAAGUUGAGAAAGCCGCUAGGUUCCUUGCUUUAGCCUUAGCAUGCAUCCUAGAGUCUAGUGGUGAGGUAAGGAUUUCAAGUAGAUGAGAUGAUUUGUGUUUUCAGUUUGACCUAUGAUGGUGGACUAAGGGUGAUUGGUACAUGACUCCUUAUUCAGCUGAUCAUAUGACUCUUGAGAUUGUGAAUCUGUAUAAUUAUUAUCAGUUUGCUGAGGACCUAGUCCCUCAUCAGCUUUGGUGUCAUCGAUUGCCGACCUUUGACUGCCUUGCUUUCCAUCAUCUUCUUCAUUCAUUUGAUCACUACCUCCUUCAUCAUCAAGGAGCCCUCUCUAAAUCUGGAGAAGUUCUAAUUCUGUAUCAUUCUUGUUUCCCAAAUUUUCAAUGCUACUUUGAUUCGUCAAAGAUGACAUAAACACUCCCUUUCACACAAAGAAUACCUUUGCUGUAGAUUUUGUAGGCUUUGUUGGUAGAUGAGUACCCAACAAACACUCCUUCAUCACUUUUGGGAUCAUAUUUUUCAAGAUCUUUACCAUUGUUUAGGACAAAACAUUUGCAUCCAAAAACUUAUUGCUCAACAAUUCAUAGGGUGUUUUGUUGAGGAUUGUCCUGAUCAAGCAUCUAUUUAUAACAUGGCAAGCUGUGUUUACUGCCUCAGCCCAGAAGUUCUUUGGAAGAGCAGAAUCAAUCAAACAUGGUCCUUGCAAUGUCUAUUAGGGUUCUGUUCUUUCUCUCAACUACCUCAUUCUGCUGAGGAGUUGAAGUUAUGGCUGAUUCCAAUAAUGCACAAAACUGAUCCAUUUGGAUUUCAAACUCUGUUUCGUGGUCUGGCUUGAUCCCUGCAAUUUACCCACCAUACUUGACUUGUAUAUUUUUUUAGCAAAGAUCAUGAAUGUUUCACAUGUUUCCUCUUUGGAUCUUAGAAACAUGGUUUAUGUAAACUUUGUGAAAUCAUCCACAAUCACUAGAAUAUAUUUCUUUCCUUCUCUGGGUUGGACCUUGACAGGUCCACAUAGAUCCAUGUGAAGUAGCUCUAGAGGUUGGUUAGUGAUGACAUGCUUCUUCUGUUUGAAUGAGGACCUGGUCUGCUUUCUUUUGGCACGAACAUCACAAAUCUUAUCUUCUGCAAACUUGAUCUUUGGAAUUCCAUUGACCAGGUCCCUGGCAACCAACUUGUUCAAAAGUGCUGAGCUCAUAUGUCCUAGUUUGUGAUGCCACAGAUCUGUGUUAUUACUCUGAGCAUUAAGACAUGGGUUGAUCACUUGAUACUGAGCACAAGUCAGCAACAUAUAUGUUCUUGCAUCUCUUGGCUUUCAAAAUCACUUCACCAGAAUUAAGAUGUCACAAUACAACCAUCUGAUAGAAACUUCACCUCAUUCCUUUUAUCACAAAUUUGUGAUACACUGAGGAGAUUGUAUUUUAGCCCAUCACAAAGCACACAUUUUCAAUGGCAUGAUUAAGUGAUAUUCCAAUCUUGCCAGCUGUUUCAAUGUUACCCUUUUUUUCAUUUCCAAAUGAGACACUUCCACCGUGAAGUGCCUUUAGUGAGAGGAAUUCUUCAGUUCUUUUGGUCGUGCUUGGAGCAUCCACUAUUCAUGAACCCGACUGUUUCCUUUUUUCUCUCACACCUGCAUCAGGAAUCACUUGUUAGACUGGGUUCCCAAUAAGGUGACGAAGGGCGUAAUCAAUGCUCUCUUAGUCCAACCAGGCAAUAUGGAUUGGCUUGCUUCAAAAAAAGGGACUGGUCCCUAACUUCCUCGACCAGGUUCCCUAGUAGCAAAGUUUUUUCGUUGAUCAUAUUUUAAGAAGUUUUCAUCAACCCUCUUUUUGGCUUCACGAUCCUUCUUGAGGUAACCAUUCCUACCAUAGUGUGUAUGUAGUAAGUUAUCAUACAGAAACACAUACUGUUAUGGGUAUUGUAGGGAAGGUUGACACUCUUUCUUCCUAGACCUCUUCCAGUGUUAGACCUUUGGUUUGUUAAAUUUGUCAAGAUUUUGGAUGAGGUGGUCCAUUUGAGAGGUUUUUUGAGUUCUUCUUUGACACGGACCAGGUCCCUCUCUAGUUGAACAUUUCUUUCCAGAGAGGCUAUAAGUUCUUCAGAUUUUUUUUAAGCUUUCAUCAAGCUCUAGCUGAAGACUACUGAUUACUAGAAUUUUUUUAAGCUUUCAUCAAGCUCUAGCUGAAGACUACUGAUUACUAGAAUUUUUUUAAGCUUUCAUCAAGCUCUAGCUGAAGACUACUGAUUACUAGAAUUUUUUUAAGCUUUCAUCAAGCUCUAGCUGAAGACUACUGAUUACUGGCUUCAUUCUUUCCUUUAGACUCACAUAGUGAAGUUUUCUGCAACUUUUCUUUGGGAGAGCUAUUUUCGGUAGACACUUGACUCAACUCUUUUUCCAACUCAGAAAUUUUGACAACUAGAGCAAUUUUUUCACUCCCCGACACAUUAAGGCUUUGUUUGUUUGCACUUAAUGGAGGUCUGAAUCUGAAUGAUUUAGACUUCAGACCAUUAAGUGCAUUUGUUUUUUAUUAAGUGUUCAUUAGAGAAAGGACUUUUCUCUCCUCAAUAACGUGAACUUCGACUGUAAAGGCCUGUUAACGUAAACUUCGAAUGAAUGGACGACGCCGGCGCCGGCGCGCCGACAAUAGGUAAGGGUUACUUUCUCUCUUUCCCGUUUCUCUCUCUCCCCCCUUCUCUCUACCCCCUUCUCUUUCCAUUCCCCUUUUCCCUCUCAUCAUUGCUAUCGUCGGCGGGAUUAGGGUUUUCGUUGGCUCGACUCCGGCGACGCUAUUAGUGUGCAGCAUCGGACUACGCAGGUUGGUACGACGACAGCUGGUGUCCAGAUUCCAACAAUACUUAGAGAUGUUCCGACGACAUUCAAGCGACAUUAUUCUGACGACUCUAUUCCGGUAACUAAUUUUGACAUCAAAUUGCCGGAACCCAGCAGUAGCACGCAAGAGGAGAGGACUUGGCACACACGAGUAUCCUGAUGACCUCUAAACUUUGAUAUUUAAUUCCUUUUUUUAGUCUAGUUUUUCUUGAACCGGGGGUCUAUCGAAAACAACCUCUCUACUUCGGAGGUAGCGGGUAUGGACUGCGUAUAUCUUACCCUCCCCAGGCCUCACUUUGUGGGAAUAUACUGGGUUUGUUGUUGUUGUUUCAGUCUAGUUUCGUCAUAUUAUUCUGUUUCUUGUGAUUUUGUUGUGACUAGUUGCUUUCUCAUAUUGGUGGAUAUUGUUGUGUUUUUCUAGCUGCUAGGCCGGAGAGUGUGUUUUGUGCGUGCCUUUUGUUUUCAUACUGUUGCUUUGUUUGGAGUUUUGUUUCUGUUUUGUGAGUAGUGGCUUUGGGGGUUGAUGGUGGAAUAGGGUCAUGUCCGAGAGGGUUGGGGCUGGGGUUGUUUUGGGAGUGGGUGAUGAAGGGAGGGCAGGGGUGGGUGUGAGGUCUAGGUCGGGUGUUAGGGCUGGUUCGGUGAGGGGUAGUAGAGGUAGGCGAGAGGUGAGAGAAGCUAGGUUGAGGGUAGGGUCUUGGAACAUAGGGACCCGUCAGGGUAAGUUCUUAGAGCUGGUGAAGAUUCUUAAGAAGCGAAGGAUUAAUAUUGCGUGUGUUUAGGAGACUAAGUGGGUAGGGUCUAAGGCUAGGGAUGUGGAUGGGUACAAGUUGUGGUACUCAGGUAGUGAGAGGCGUAGGAAUGGAGUGGGCAUCUUAGUGGAUGAGGCCCUUAGAGGGUAGGUGGUGGAGGUUAAGAGGGUCCGUGAUAGGCUGAUGAUGAUUAAGUUGGUCAUUGGGGGGUUUACGCUGAAUGUGUGUAGUGUUUAUGUGCUGCAGGUAGGCUUGGAAGAGGAGGUGAAAGCGAGUUUUUGGGAGGCUUUGGACGAGGUGGUGAGAAGUGUGCCUAGCUCGAAGAAGAUUGUCAUAGCAGGGGACUUCAAUAGGCAUAUUAGGAUUUUACCGGGAGGCUAUGACGAUGUGCAUUGAGGUUUUGGUUUCGGUGAUAGGAAUGGUGAGGGAGCUGCUCUGUUGGAUUUUGUGAGGGCAUUUGGGCUGGUGGUAGUGAAUUCGAGCUUUCUGAAGAAGGAGGAUCACUUGAUUACCUUCUAAAGCGCGAUAGCCACCUGAUUACCUUCCGAAGCGCGAUAGUCAAGACUCAAAUUGACUUUUUGCUGCUUAGGAAAGGGGAUAGGGUUUUAUGUAAGGACUGUAAAGUCAUUUCGAGUGAGUAUCUUUCGACCCAGCAUAGACUUUUGGUGAUGAACUUGGUUAUCAAGAAGAGCAAAAAGAGAAGGGCUGAGGAGGGUCGACCCAGAAUUAAAUGGGAUGGCUUGACGCCAGUUAGUGUGUUGGAGAUAGGGGAGAAGGUGGCGGGAAUGGGGGUGUGGGAGUGUAGAGGGGACGUGGAUGAUAUGUGGGAUAGGGCUGCCAGCUACAUCAAGGAUAUCGCGUGGGAAGUGUUGGGUGUUUCGAGGGGUCGAGCAGGACGACAUAAGGGGGACUGGUGGUGGAAUGAAGAAGUUAUGAAGAAAGUGGAGAUUAAGAAGGGGGCGUAUAUUAAGUUGAUUGAGAGUAAUGAUGAAGAGGAGAAGAAGUUGAAUAGGGAGGUUUACAAAUUAGAAAGGAAGGAGGCUAAGUUAGAAGUUACGGCUGCUAAGACAGCAGCGUUUGAGAGCUUGCAUGCGGGGUUAGAGGUGAAAGGCGAGGAAAAGAGGUUGUAUAGGCUUGCUAAAGCUAGGGAGUGGAAGGGUCGUGACCUCGAUCAAGUGAAGUGCAUUAAGGGGGAGGAUGGUUGAGUUUUGGUGGAGGAUGUUCACAUAAAGAGAAAUGGCAGGAGUAUUUUCAUAGACUCCUGAACGAGGAGAGGGACAAAGGCAUUGAGUUAGGGGGGCUGGAGCACUCGGAGGAGAGCUGUGAUUUCAGUUACUGUAGACGUUUUAAGGUUGAGGAGGUUAGAGAGGCUAUUCGUAGGAUGCGGAGGGGUAGGGCGAUGGGGCCUGACGAGAUUUCGGUGAAUUUUUGAAAGUAUACUGGUGGGGCAGGUUUAAGGUGGUUGACUGAUUUAUUCAAUGGCAUUUUCAAGACUGUGAAAAUGCCUGAGGCUUGGAGAUGGAGUACGAUGAUUCAGUUAUAUAAAAACAAGGGUGAUAUUUAGAGUUGCAACAACUACAGAGGUAUUAAGUUAUUGAGUCACACUAUGAAGAUUUGGGAGAGGAUGGUUGAGCGGAGAUUGAAGAGGAUUGUGUCUAUCUCGGAGAAUCAGUUUGGAUUUAUGCCCAGUCGCUCGACGACAGAGGCAAUUCACCUGGUGAGGAGAUUGGUGGAGCAGUAUAGGGAAAUGAAAAGGGACUUAUACAUGGUGUUCAUCGACCUGGAGAAGGCGUAUGAUAAAGUCCCUAGGGAGGUUCUUUGGAGAUGCUUGGAGGUGAGAGGGGUCCCGGUGGCGUAUAUCAGAUCUAUUAAGGACAUGUAUGAUGGAGGGAAGACUUGGGUGAGGAUGGAUCUAAGGAGACUCAGAGCAUUUUCCGGUCGAGAUAGGGUCGCAUCAGGGAUCGACUCUUAGUCCGUUCCUGUUUGUGUUGGUGAUGGAUGUGUUAACGCGGAGUUUUCAAGAUGAGGUGCCUUGGUGUAUGUUAUUUGCAGAUGAUGUAGUGCUGAUUGGUGAGACGCAGGGUGUGAAUGAAAAAUUGGAGUUUUGGAGGUAAACCCUUGAAUCUAAAGGGUUUUGGUUGAGUAGGUCCAUGACAGAGUAUAUGGAAUGCAAGUUUAAUGACUUGAGGCAGGAGGAAGAGGUAGUGGUGAGGUUGGAUUCCCAGGUUUUUUUGUAAGAGGGAUAGUUUUAAGUAUCUUGGUCUAUGAUUCAGGGGAAUGGAGAGAUUAACGAGGAUGUCUCUAAACGUAUUGGGGCAGGUUGGAUGAAGUGGAGGCGUUUCUCCGGAGUGUUGUGUGAUAAGAAGGUGCCCCUUAAGCUUGAAGGCAAAUUCUACCGAGUGACAGUCCGUCCGGCCAUGCUGUAUGGAGCAGAGUGUUGGUUAGCCAAGAAUUCCCACGUUAAAAUUUUUUAAAGGUAUCGGAAAUAAGAAUGUUGCGUUGGAUGUGUGGUCUUACUAGAGAGGAUAAAGUUAGGAAUGAGAUUAUCCGGUAGAAGGUGGGAGUGGCUUCGGUGGAGGACAAGAUGCGGGAAGGGAGGCUGAGAUGGUUUGAACAUGUGAUGAAGAGUGGCACGGAUGCCCCAGUUCGUAGGUGUGAGAGGCUAAUUUUGGAUGGUUUCAGGAGGGGUAGAGGUAAGCCGAAGAAAUACUAGAGGGAGGUAAUCAGGCAUGACAUAGAGCAGUUACAGCUUACUUAGGACAUGACCCUAGAUAGGAAGAUGUGGAGUCGCGGAUAAGGGUGGAAGGCUAGGGUGUGUGGGUGAGUCGUAGCAAGUAGUUAGGAGAAUUCUUGUGUAGACGGGUUAGUCCUAGGACUGUGUCCAUAGGUAGGAGCAGCUAGUCAGGGAGUUUGGGUGUGGUUGGUGUCUUUGGUCUGUGAGUGUAUGUUUACUACUAUGUGGGUUUCUUAUUUCUUAUUUUCUAUUUCUUAUUUCUUAUUGCUCUUAUCUUAUUUCUUAUUUCUUUUAUUUUUAUUUUGUUAUUUCUUAUUUCUUAUCUCUGUUAUGCCAUUCAUCUUGUUUCAUUGUUCCAUUUCGAUGUUGUCUACUAUUCUUUAUCUUGAGCCGGAGUUUUAUCGGAAACAACCUCUCUACUUCUUCGGUGGUAGCGGUAUGGACUGCGUACAUUUUACUCUCCCCAGACACCACUUUGUGGGAAUAUACUGAGCUUUUUGUUGUUUUUUAUUAAGAUUUUGGCUCUUAAUAGGUCUAAAUCAUUCAAAUCUGGAACUUAGUCUUAAUCAUUAGAGGUAUUCUUGUGUUGGAUAAUAUUUACAACCACUUUAUUUGAUCAUCAGUCACCACCGCUAACCACCUUUGCCAUCACUACCAUUGUCAACCACCCACCUCGCCACCAACCACCACCACUACCACUAACCACCUCCACCAUCACAACCACCAUUCACAAUCAUAAUUGCUACUAACCACUAUUUUCAACCGCUAUCAUAUCUGCCACCUCCAUUAUUUUAAUUAUAUCCGCCGCUAUCACCACCGUCAAUGCCAACGCCAAUGCCAACACCACCACCAUCAUCAACGACUAUCGGCCAAUCCCAAUUAUUACGAACUCAUCCAUCAACUAGCGCAACUGCUAACUACUAAUAACAUAUCAUCAACAUCCAUACAUUUUUUGGCCACUACCACCACCACCAUUGUCACCGGUGUCGCCAUCUCUACCACCGCUUCAACCAGCAUCAUCACUACAGUAUAUCUCAACUGAUAAUCAUCUCCACCAUCACAGCUAACAACAUCUCCAACUACCACCAACACAUCGUCAACCAUCGUGCAUUCAUUUUUAAGCUAUCACAAUCAAUACCUCCAACUAUUAACAUCAACCAACUUCACAUCACUAUCACCAUCACUACCAAUCAUCACCAUCAUAACAGUCACUCCAAUACCAAACAUCUCUACCAUCACAACUAUCGCCACCAACAUUACUAAUCACUAACAUUAAUCAUUACCACCACCAUUACGAAUCAUCUCCAUUAUUACUAACAAUAAUAAAUAUUUUUUUCAAUCAAAUAAUAAUUUUAUUGUAUUAAAUCAAAUAUUUUUCUAGUAUAUAAUAAUUUUUUAUUUAAAUUAUAUUUUUAUUAUAUAUGCAAAUAAAUAAAUUUUGCAUAUUCAGAUAUUGAAAAACAAAUAGUCUUAACCAUUCAGUUUUCAGAUUUGAAGAUAAUAUCUUAAUCAUUCAGAUAUGCAUUCAGAUUCAAACGUUUGAAUUUUAAUAAAAACAAAUACAACCUAAGAGUCUCAUUCCUGAGAUCCUUUUCAUUUGUAAGUUCACAUAAGGAGUCUAUCAAAACUUUAGCUAGGCUUUAAGCUUUCUCCAAGAAUAAUUAUUAAAAUUUUGCUUGAUAUCAAAAAGUGUUAC
rnacentral:lncRNA from 1 species